GUUACUGUAAAGAUGUUAGGAAAUGCGAGAUGUGCAGCAGCUAAAAUGCGGAGGAGCUCCUAGCACUAGGCAAAAAGUGGAUUUCGCGAAUUUUCAGUUUUUUGGAGUAGGCUACCUGCAACCGCACACAUACGUCUAUGAGAUACACGUUUCUUCCUAGGUUAAGGGUCUAAUUGUAAAAUAAAUGUGUUUGAUUGAAUAACUAGCCUAAUCUAACUGUCGUGGUCAUACAUCUGGACUCAUCAUCAUCAUCAUCAACACUUUGAAUUACAUAGGAAUAUUACUGUAGAAACUGGUUGCUAAGGGAACGAGACACCACCAUUAUCCUCUUGUUGUGUGACUGAGAGGCGGGAUUGGAAAAGUGCACGAGGAGGGGUGGGAAGCGGAGACGGAGCGUGGUUGAAAUUCCACCAAAUGGAUAAGAGGCAGACAAAGUUUGACGCGUUUAUGUUUUCAGUGGUUUGCCGACACGAAUGAACGAGUAAACGCUGCUUUUAGCCUAGUGGAAGUAUCACAAAUGAAUACCUCAGUAUUAUGUAUACCACUGCACUGAAUCUCCACGAGGGCACAAGUCCGCCUGACAAUUUCGCGUAGAGGCAGCGCGGGAGAGCUCACUUGUAGCCUGGCAGAUCACUGGGGUCAGGGCCUGUUCCAGAGGGAGCCAUAUAUCCUCCGCCUCGGACUCGUCAGAGUCGUGAAAGAAGAAAAAGUUUUCUGCUAGCCCGUGUUUGCGCGAGGACGUCCAUCGGGAGUUGGCCUGCAGGGACACCACCCUCACCUUCGACCAGCUGGUGGACCUGUCCAUUCGGCUGGAUAACCUGCUGGCUACCCGUGGACAUCCAGAUCGGGUUCUGCCGGUUCCAUCCCCCAGCACCGCCACUCCUGUGCCCAUGGAGCUAGGAGGGGCUGUGCGUAGGGAGACUGGAGGAGGUUCUGUCUCGUGCACCAUCUGUGGCCGCAGAGGUCACACUGCCAGGUCGGUUCUGGGUUGGUUCCUCUGGGGAUCAAGGCAGCAGGCAGGGCACUCUGGCUUCAUCCCAGGUGAGCCGGCACCAUUCUCACCCAGAGCCCUCUGUUGCACACAUGUUUCUGUAUGUUACUCUUCCUGUGUUUUCCCCGCAUUCCCAGCAUAAGGCACUCAUCGAUUCAGGCGCAGCUGGGAAUUUUAUAGUAGGAUCGUUCGCCCUUAGUUUAGGGAUCCCCAUUGUUCCCGUGGCUGUGCCCUUCCCCAUUCACACCUUAGAUAGUCGACCAUUAGGGUGGAGGCCACCGCUCCUCUAGCUAUGGUGACGCAGGGGGGUCACAAGGAGAGAAUCAGUCUCUUCCUCAUUGACUCUCCUGCAUUUCCCUUGGUGCUAGGCCUACCCUGGUUAGCUUGUCAUGACCCCACUGUUUCUUGGCAACGGAGGGCUCUCACAGGGUGGUCGCGAGAGUGCUCGGGGAGGUGUUUAUGGGUUUCUGUUGGUGGAAAGUCCAGACCAGGUCUCCACCGUGCGCAUUCCCCCUGAAUAUGCGGAUUUGGCUCUCGCCUUCUCCAAAAAGAAGAAUCAAUUACCGCAUUUCCACCUCGGGGGUGGAGAUGGAGAGUGACUGCAUUUCAGCCGUGUGUAACUG